CAGGCAAAUAAUUCACAAAAUAUAUAUGUAUGCAUAUUUAUAUGCACAUACAACAUAUACACAUACAUAUAUACAGCGCGCAGGAAGCCAAGUAAAAUAUAUUGCGAGUGAACUUCUUUUGUUGCUCGGCUAGACGCUUAGUCGCUGUGUGCGAGCGAGACGGCGAACGGGCUAAAGCAAUGGCGACAAUUUGUUAAAUUGUUAUUGUUAUUUCUAUGUUAAAUGCUCCACUGCCCUCACAAUGGCCACCCAAAGGGAAAAUACACUUACAAUACCAACACCCUCACACUCACACAGAAACAACCACCCAUCCACACUCAUACACCCACCACACCCCAACUCACCAAUUUCACCACCCAACUGCUGCUGCACGUAGCGUCGAUCUGCAUAAAUUAUGUGAAAUGUAUAAGGACAACAGAACACAGCCUCUGGCAGCUAGAAAAACUUAUUACGCAAAACAAAUAUUGUACAUCCAUUUUCAUUUUCAUUUUAUUGUUCAGUUUUAGCCAUUUUAUUUUCGGCCACUGACCCACCAAAGGAGGAGGGGUGGGUUUUCCGCCGUAAUCGCAGUUCCUGCAGGUGGCUACUUAGGGAGUUUCCCCGAAUGCAGGGAAAAACUGCAGUGGCCAAGGUGGGAAUACAAUAAAGAAAUGGGUCUGAAAAGGGAAAAGCUUGUUACCAAAUGAAAAGUAUAUGAAUAAAAGAUUUUACGGAGGUAAGCAGAGAAAUUCUCAGUAACCAGUUGCCUAAAUGAAUAAAAGUAGAAAGUCUUAGAGAAACUGUCAUAGUUUGUCGCGUAUUUAAAAUUCUGAAAAAUGGUAUAGAACCAUGAAAAGUGCAACCUAAGUUUCCAACUGUUUAAACCGUGAAAUAUCAAAAUGUAGAGCAGUUUACUUACGGAACGAUAACGAUUUGUUUACACAGCGUGUGUGGAAAAUGUACGGCGAACAAUGGGAAAAUAAAUUGCAUUCACAUUCGCGGCGCCCUGCCAAUUACCGUAAAGAGCGCAUAAAUUGGGGGAUUGGGUGGAUUGGAUUGGUUUGCAUUGGAUUGGACUGGGUUAAGUGGGCUUGUUGUGUUGGUUGUGGGUCAUCCAGCCAGUCAUUCCACAUGUCACAUUCUUGCACGGCAUAUGACUGACCAUUUCCGCACUCAAACCCCACGAUUUUCCACGGCUUGUCAUGGGAUAUGAGUAUAUAUAUGGCUAUAUGCAUGUGCUGCGGGCAGGGAAAUCGAGUUCAAGUGAACUCAGUCAGUUGGCCGGAGCCUUGGAUUUUCAUUAGCCCCACAAAAGAGCCAUAACAGCAACGGCAACAAUGUCCAUAAACAGAGCAAAAGCCAAUUCCGAUUCGUGUGAAGUUCUUUGCAAGCUACGAGCCUUAGUGGCCAGUUCCCAAUUCAACGCCCCCGAGAAGGCAAAAAAAAAGGUGACCAAAGUUAGCGGGAACUUAACUUUCCGGGCAACCCACUGCCCACUGCCCACCGCCACCCAAAACGAAAUGGCCAUACAAAUUGAUUUUCCCACACCUCGCGGAAAACUCCUCCGCACGCCAAGUUGGUUUUCUUCGCCUCCUUUUUUUUUGGCUACAUUUCGAUUCGUUUCUGAUAAUGCUAAAGCGAAAGUCGCGCAAUGAAAUAGAAUCAUCCACCAGUUGAAGUUCAGGUUCCUUUUACGGCCUUCUCGACCUUUUCCCAUUCGAAAUCUCUUUGGGCAAGCACAUGUCAAUUAUGUGAACAGGUCUGCUUCGAAACAUCCCAAAGUCAGUCAGUCAGUCAGUUGGUCAGUUAGUCAGUUACUCAUUCGGUUGGCAAGUCCGCAAGUAACAAAUCAAUUAGCCCGGAAAGGAUAACAUAUGACUCCUGGGCGGAUGUGAAGUUCGGAACGGAGUUUCGUCUGACGUGGAACAGAUUAAUGCUGACUCCUCUCGACUCUGGCCAUUAAUCCCAGCGUUUGACAGCUGCGGAUUAAUUCAAUGAGCUCGUGGCGGAUUAAUCGAAUAAAUCCAGUUUUAUCACAUGAACAAAUGGUAAUUAAUUGGAAGUUCUAAACGUAAGAUAUAAAUGAAAUUAUUGCUUUAAUGUAGCCUCUUAUCACAGCGUUUUAAUUCAAAUAUUUCAGAUAAGAGCGCCUGCAGCUUUCAAUUGAUAUGCGAUAAGCCAUCGGAAGUAUGGGACAAAUAUUUCAAUGGUAUUGUUUUACAACUGGAAUUGAUUUUGACCUCAGGCUCCAUGGUUAAUUAUAACAAAAUAUUGAUGUAAUAAAGCAGAGGCAAUGUAAACCACUCACACGUAUGAAAGUCAAUCCCACACACUUAAACAAAGACAAACACAAACACACAGUGACAAAGACAAACAGCGAGUGACAAGUUUCGGUUGUCAGGUGCAAUUUGCUGUGAAAGGACGAAGGACCCAAUCGAUCGAUCGAUGAGAGUGCUUAAUUGUUGGCCCGCAAUUCGUGGGCCUUGUGGAAGUGAGCCUCUGUCCAUACAUUACGCAUUCAUCCAUUUAUAUUGACACUUGUUCGGGCUUAAAAAUUAAUCAGCGAUGAGGCGAGUUUCCACUUUCAAUCUGCACAUUCAUCACAUUUUACAGGGCACUCGGCCGCCCACCUUGUUCAAUUAUUUAGGAGCGAAUUGCAGGAAGAUAGCUGGGGGAAAAGCUACUUAGCGGUUUAGCCAUGGUCCAUGGUUCGUGGACCAUCCAACAGCAGGGUAGUGACGACAAAUGGUCAUUGUGAAUUCAUGUUGGUCUCGACACGUGCCAAAUGUCCGGCAAGGUCAAGAGAUUUAUGCUGAGGAAAAGGACACUGGCAGGACACGAAUGGCCAAGCUAACCCCAAAGGGUUAUGGACACGUUCGCCACUCUGGUUAAUUCAUUAGCUCGGGUCUUAUCUCUGAUUAUGGCAAUUAAAUGCUUCCCAAUCCCCUUGAUCUGUGGCCAGUUUCAAUUCGUUGGUCUCAAUUUACCCCGGAAUUAUCAUCGGAGUGCUGCACUCGCCUCCAUUUCGAUUCGAUCAUCCUCUGCUGAAUCCGGCUCAUUCCGAAGGAUUCAUUGUUUGUUUUAUUAAGCCCAAUUAGUGCGUCUGCCAUCCCCACCAUGUCUCCCCCAAAUGAUUGCGUCUGAUGCAAUCCGAUUGGCUUUCAAUUAAUUGACAAGCCAUCAUAAUUGAUGCUCUGCUCACAUGGCUUCGCAUUUAUUAAACAACUGUGAGGGGCGACCGAAAUUAACUUAUAGGCUGUCAUGGAUGUUUUCCGGUAUUAACUAUGGUACAUAUUCAGUCAAUCGAUUUCCCAUGUGUUUUCACAUGCAAAUUGUGUGGCAAAAAAUUGAUUUAUAUUCGGUUAAACAGCAGAGAUUUUUAUCCUAACUCAGUGGCACAAUUUAAUUAGGUUUCUUAUUUACAAAAAUGUAUUUACACUGCAUAGAUCCAAAAAUUCCCUAAAAUAUUUUAUAAAUUUUUAAUAUUGCCAAGAAACAAGUAUGUUUUUUUGUUAUUAACAUUAUCCGACUUUUAUGCCCUCCGAAAACGUCUUUAAACUGAAAAAAUCAUUCAUUCGUUUGACAUUCAGUUGAUGGCUGUCAUCAUGCUUAAAAAUCAGCGAUAAAUUUAAAUCAAUGGCUCAAUAAGAAUGAUUUAAUUGCCUUUUCAUUUGGUUGGCCCGUCGAGUGUCUGGCGAGCUGUUAAAAUUCAAAUUGAAAGUCCGAACGUGACCGAAAAUGUGAAAUUAUGCCGAUGCGAAAGGCGGCUCGACUCGACUUUAAUAGGCAAUUUGCAGUCGUAAUCCAAAUGCAGGCAGUUGGCAAAGUCACGCACAGUCUAAGGAUAACAAUAAUGGCCGAGGAUUCGGCCGCAGGACAACGAAAUUAUUUUACACAUUCAAGGCGGCGAUAAAGCGCGCUCUCCCCCCCUCCGCAGUCAAAUGCAACUGGGCUAAAAUAUUAGUGGCUUAAAUGCCAGGGCUUAAUGGCCAAUAAAUCGAUUUGCUUUCGGCAGCCAAAGGGACGCACUGCAGCCAAGGCUUGGCCACCAAUUUUGGAUGGGCUGAGCUGAAACGGGGGGUCCUGUGCUUAUCGGCACGCAUGCACGCAGCUGGCGGCAAUUUGGAUACAAAGAUAAAACAUUUAUUGGCCACAUAAAACGGGUGAAAUUACCAAGGACCCGCCAGCUCCACCAGCUCCACAAUGGCCACAUCCACGUCCUGUUCUCCCAUCCGGCAUUUUGAGUUCGAUUCGGAUGCGGGGAUCGCCUUUGUAAUUUCACUCUGCUGUCGCACGAGCGGCAAAUCAAUUUCAGUCUUUGCCUUACGGAACUGCCACGUUUUGGGUCCACAAAUUAGACAAAUGAUUUGGUGCACUUGUCAUAAAACUGCCAAAGGGAUUGCCUUUGUCCUGCCUCCAAAUGGACCCAACUCUUUCUCUGCCUUGGAGCUCGAUUUUGAAAACCCUAUGCCAAGUAAAAACCAUGGCUUUCCAUGUAUUAACUGCAACCUUGUUAAAAUAAGUGACAUAUGGUCAAUAUUGAGCUUGUUUUGAGCAUAUUUUGAGGCCAUAAAUUUAAUAUAUUCAAAAAAAUGUAGUACAUAAUUCACAUAUGAAAAUAUUUCCAGUUCAAUGCUUUUGUGUGACAUCAGGAAUCUGUGCGAAAUCUUAACCUUUGUCAUCGUAGGUGCCCUUUGUCAUGUUUUCCAUCCAUUUGUUGGGUUCUUUCAAAUUUAUCAUUACGCGGAAACUUCAAAAAGCACGAGGCGGAAACUUUUCUUUCCGAGCGGUGCAGAAAAGAGAGCGAAAAAAGUCUAAUUAAAUAAAUUACAAAAUGCUUUGCCAGCGACAACAAUUCAUUAAAAAAGAACGAAAGACAAAGGCAGCCCAGUUGGUUUGGGUUUUUGUUCGGCUCAAAAAAAAAAAACAAACAAAAAGUUGAGGCAUUCUGCCAGACGAGCGUCGAGAUGCGUUUAGCACGGCUUCAGGACGAAGGGACGAAGGACUACAGGACGACAGGACGACAGGACUUGGCUGGCUGGCAAAUUAAAAGCCGACUGCGAAGGCGCCCAUAAAUCUCAGCCAGCAGAUUGCCUUGGCCGCAGAGCACUAGCAUGGACACGAAACGAUGUCGACUUAUUUGCAUGUUUGUCACUGGCUUUUUACCAUUUUCCCCCCUUUUUUUUAUUUUUUUUUUAUUUCAGUUGUUGGGUGCUUUUAGUUUCCGGCGCGUUGCACUUGGAGCUCGUUGGCUGCCGCACAAAGUUGCCGCACAGACAAACAAUGCCGAAUCGCGGGGGCGGCUUGCUUUCAAAUUGCGUUGAAAGCGCCCGAAUGCCCCAUUUUGCUGCUGCUGCUGUUGCUAUUGUUGUUGUAGCUGCUGGCGUGGGGAAAAGGCCAGCAAAAAAUAGCGAAUAAAAAAAUGAAGUCGACCAAAAAAAAGGGAGGCAGCACAAAAAAAAAAAUAAAGAACUAGAUGUGACACGAACAACGGCAAGCGACAACGUUCCGGAACAGAAACGGAAAUUGUGAAAUAUACAAAUGUUCGUCUUGUUUAGGAAUGCUUCUACAUUAGAAACACGCACAUCAACUAUUUCUCGCAGUGUAAGCCCAAGUGGGACCGCCUCCAGAGUUUCGCGGACAAGGGUAUAAGGAACGCUUUGUAAUAAAAAUAUAUGGAUCUGGCUCGGACAACGGCAACAUGUCACAUUGUUAAAAAAAAGACACAAAAAUCGGAAACGAAGGGCGGCUGGGCGGCAGAAGUGCACAGAAUGGAGAAAUCCCGACAAUUUGUUGCCGGGCGUUAAACGCUGGAAUAUCCGGUGAAACACGCUUAUUAAAACGGUAGCAUUUAGGCCGGUUCACACCCCACUUUGUCCGCAGGGAUAACAAAUUGGAAGGACAACAAAUAAGGCAGCAGGAGCAAGCCGAUCGUGUAAUGAAUGUAAAAGGAGACUUCGGGCACAAAAAAAAGGUCAACCAUUGUUCUCAAUUGCACACAGCUUUUGUCAAUUUAGGCUAAAGAGGGGAAAAAAUUGACUCGAAUAUAUUAUUUAAAUUUGUGUUUACAUUUUAAUGCUUUAAAAAAAUGCACUCGAGUGUUUUGUGGAUAUUAAAAAAAUUAAUAUAUAAAAA